rnacentral:rRNA from 1 species
GAUGAACGCUGGCGGCGUGCCUAAUACAUGCGAGUCGAGCGAACAGAUGAGGAGCUUGCUCCUCUGACGUUAGCGGCGGACGGGUGAGUAACACGUGGAUAACCUACCUAUAAGACUGGGAUAACUUCGGGAAACCGGAGCUAAUACCGGAUAAUAUAUUGAACCGCAUGGUUCAAUAGUGAAAGACGGUUUUGCUGUCACUUAUAGAUGGAUCCGCGCCGCAUUAGCUAGUUGGUAAGGUAACGGCUUACCAAGGCAACGAUGCGUAGCCGACCUGAGAGGGUGAUCGGCCACACUGGAACUGAGACACGGUCCAGUCUCCUACGGGAGGCAGCAGUAGGGAAUCUUCCGCAAUGGGCGAAAGCCUGACGGAGCAACGCCGCGUGAGUGAUGAAGGUCUUCGGAUCGUAAAACUCUGUUAUUAGGGAAGAACAAAUGUGUAAGUAACUAUGCACGUCUUGACGGUACCUAAUCAGAAAGCCACGGCUAACUACG